GAUCCCGUAUGCUGUUGUUCUUUGACCGAGCACAAUCAAAGACGUCUCUUAAACUCGAGAUUUACUUAGGCAUUUAAGAUUAGGCGAAAAAUUUAGCCAUCUUAAACUUUAUUUUUCUUGGCAACGAAAAAUCUGUCAGAACUUGAGAAGAAGACAUUUAAUUGAUCAAACGUGAAUGCUAGAAAUUCAAUUAGGACACACACAAGAAGAUGGGUUUUAACACAAGCAUGUUAUUUCUACUUAUUACCUUUAGCAUAUUGACGCAUGAGACACUAGCGUACCUUCUUUGGCCUAAUAAAGCGUGUGCUUUAUAUUUUAACAAAUAUGAAUGCUACGGAACUCAGAAGAGAUGGUGGUAUAAUGAGUUGACCAUGAUAUGUGAACCUUUUCUGUAUGGAGGAUGCUAUGGAAGUGAAAAUAAUUUUCUCUCUGAGAUGGACUGCUAUUCGGCAUGUGUACACCACGUACUUUAUCCAGUUAUACUCUUAGCACGUCUAUUCGUGUAAUUUAUGUAUUGAUAUGUAUUUGUAAUAAUUUGAUAUUGAAUUUCAACAGAAGUACUAAAUGAAAAACUCUAUGAAGUUUUUCUUAAAAUGCAA